rnacentral:rRNA from 1 species
UACGGAGGGGGCAAGCGUUAUUCGGAAUUAUUGGGCGUAAAGGGCUCGUAGGCGGUUUGUCGCGUCGGGAGUGAAAUCCACUGGCUUAACUGGUGGCUUGCUUUCGAUACGGGCAGACUGGAGGUAUGCAGGGGAGAACGGAAUUCCGGGUGUAGCGGUGGAAUGCGUAGAGAUCCGGAAGAACACCGGAGGCGAAGGCGGCUUGCUGGGCUUGGUCUGACGCUGAGGCGCGAAAGCGUGGGGAGCGAACAGG